UAGCAAAUAUUCCUGCUGUUCUGAUUUUGUAAUAAUCAAGACAGGUUAAACGUUUGCUCCCCAGACUUAGUUCUUCCCCUAGAUCUGGUUUUAUCAAUGCUGGUGAUUUAU
ensembl:snoRNA SNORA72 Small nucleolar RNA SNORA72